AGCAUGCUCAAGGCGCAUCAGAAUCACCCCUCUGCAAAAACAAAAUUGAAAGGGCAACUCAUGAUUAGCCUUUGAGGUCAAGUGAAAAGUGGGUUAUUGACAUUUCCACCCAUACACGAAGUAGGAAUUGUCAUGCGCAACUUCGGCAUUUCAUGCGCUCUGAUACUACACAGGGCAACAAGGAAAUCUUGUUAUCUUGGUGCAGUAAGAAGCAAACUACAGUUGGUGCAACAAAUGCUAAAGCUGAGUAUAGGGCUUUGGCCAAGUACUGUUAGCCAGAUGCUAUGGUAAAGAAUCUACUAUAACUGGGAUUCACUUAUAAUGAGUUAUUGUCUUUAUGUUGUUAGAAUUAAGCAGCUAAUCAUAUCACUGAUAAUCCACUUUUUCUGCGAGACCUCAACAUAUAGAAGUUGAUUGCCACUUUAUUCAAGAAGCAAUAAUUAACCAGAAGAUUAGUACCCUCAUUCACUCCUUUUUCGAACCAGACAGCAGCUGUUUUCACCAAGUCCGUAGGGGGUAUUACUAGCUUCAAGUGCUUGAUGUAUAUGUUUCAACUUGAAGGGGAAUGUUACAAUAUAUUCUACAAUAUUCCUCCAUCACUUGUGUACAUACAAUGACAAACAGACAAUGGCAGACAGAAUAUUCCUUACCAUGAUUUUUACCAUUGAUUUUGUACUUUACCUCAAUGUCAGUAUUGUAUAUAUUGAGAUUGAGUUCUUGUAUUGAUUUUGACGAAAAGGAUAC